rnacentral:rRNA from 1 species
GACGAACGCUGGCGGCGUGCUUAACACAUGCAAGUCGAACGGAAAGGCCCUGCUUUUGUGGGGUGCUCGAGUGGCGAACGGGUGAGUAACACGUGAGUAACCUGCCCUUGACUUUGGGAUAACUUCAGGGAACUGGGGCUAAUACCGGAUAGGAGCUCCUGCUGCAUGGUGGGGGUUGGAAAGUUUCGGCGGUUGGGGAUGGACUCGCGGCUUAUCAGCUUGUUGGUGGGGUAGUGGCUUACCAAGGCUUUGACGGGUAGCCGGCCUGAGAGGGUGACCGGCCACCUUGGGACUGAGAUACGGCCCAGACUCCUACGGGAGGCAGCAGUGGGGAAUAUUGCACAAUGGGCGGAAGCCUGAUGCAGCAACGCCGCGUGCGGGAUGACGGCCUUCGGGUUGUAAACCGCUUUCGCCUGUGACGAAGCGUGAGUGACGGUAAUGGGUAAAGAAGCACCGGCUAACUACGUGCCAGCAGCCGCGGUGAUACGUAGGGUGCGAGCGUUGUCCGGAUUUAUUGGGCGUAAAGGGCUCGUAGGUGGUUGAUCGCGUCGGAAGUGUAAUCUUGGGGCUUAACCCUGAGCGUGCUUUCGAUACGGGUUGACUUGAGGAAGGUAGGGGAGAAUGGAAUUCCUGGUGGAGCGGUGGAAUGCGCAGAUAUCAGGAGGAACACCAGUGGCGAAGGCGGUUCUCUGGGCCUUUCCUGGCGCUGAGGAGCGAAAGCGUGGGGAGCGAACAGGCUUAGAUACCCUGGUAGUCCACGCUGUAAACGGUGGGUACUAGGUGUGGGGUCCAUUCCACGGGUUCCGUGCCGUAGCUAACGCUCUAAGUACCCCGCCUGGGGAGUACGGCCGCAAGGCUAAAACUCAAAGGAAUUGACGGGGCCCCGCACAAGCGGCGGAGCAUGCGGAUUAAUUCGAUGCAACGCGUAGAACCUUACCUGGGUUUGACAUGGAUCGGGAGCGCUCAGAGAUGGGUGUGCCUCUUUUGGGGUCGGUUCACAGGUGGUGCAUGGCUGUCGUCAGCUCGUGUCGUGAGAUGUUGGGUUAAGUCCCGCAACGAGCGCAACCCUUGUUCACUGUUGCCAGCACGUUAUGGUGGGGACUCAGUGGAGACCGCCGGGGUCAACUCGGAGGAAGGUGGGGAUGACGUCAAGUCAUCAUGCCCCUUAUGUCCAGGGCUUCACGCAUGCUACAAUGGCUGGUACAGAGAGUGGCGAGCCUGUGAGGGUGAGCGAAUCUCGGAAAGCCGGUCUCAGUUCGGAUUGGGGUCUGCAACUCGACCUCAUGAAGUCGGAGUCGCUAGUAAUCGCAGAUCAGCAACGCUGCGGUGAAUACGUUCCCGGGGCU